GAACCCUUAGAGUCAGUCUAUGGAGCUUGAGGCAGCCGAGGUCAUCCUGGCGCAUACCUGCCUCUUACUGUCACUGGAUGCGCGCAAACUGAUCUGUGAGAGCCAUCAGAGGAAUGGACUGAGCAAGGCGCUCGUGGAAAUGACUGAAAACUUGGGGGGCUGCAAGAUUCAGACUGCUCUGUACUGAAGCAGUAGCGAGAUACUGAACAGUCACUUCUUUUGAUGCCUGAGGGACAAGCCUGAUUGAAAUACGCACUAUGUGAGAUGACACCACAUAGGAGACUGGCAGCAUUCAGCUCCCGCCUGUGAUGUAACUAUCUUCAAGCCCUCGGCAGAGCCCAUGCAUCAGGAUGAACUGAAACUGCUGGGGAGAAGCACAUCUCUUUGGGCUGUGAUGGAAGGCCAUGAAACACAGGACCAAAGCCAAAUUAACCUUCCUAAUUAUUUUCCCAUCUUUAUGCAGUCCUCUAGGUAGCUGCUUGUUUGCCACAGAUAUUUGUGCAUAACUCACAGGAAUGUAUGGGAUCAUAUGAUGGAUCACACACCGUUAGGUUUUUAUUGUAAUGGUGUUUUAAAUAUAUGUAGUCUGGAUUCUGCCCUCCAAGCUGCCCAGGGAAAUGGAAAUCCAUGGGAAGAAGAUGGAAUUUCAGAAAGCUUAGCUUGAAUUUUACUUUGCUUCUUCUCUCCCAACAGAACAUAACAAAAAUUUUAACAUUUCAAUUUGCCAUUUUCUGUGGUAUGGAAAUUUCUGUGGGUAACUAUAUUGGUGUAUCUUCUGUUUACAUUUUACAGUUCUGUCCCCUCAAAGGAUGAAAAAGUACGUUAUAUAACCCACCUAAAUUUUGCUUUCAUCAUAACUGUCAGAGACAAUAAUGAAAAAUAAUGUCCUGACAACCAUUACUAAAUAGUGGGAAAGGUAUUUUGAGGGCACAUCUUUUUCCUUAGAUAAAGUACUACUAUGAAAGACACAAACACUGUAACUUUGAGUUAGCCUUUAUCACAGUUGUACUAUCUGGACUUGGCUGACCUAAUGAAAUGUUGCUGUGACAUAUUCCUGUGUACUUUUGAAUGCAUUUAAUUAGAGCUCAGUAGUGACACUUAUACAACCUGGGGAGCCUAACUAACUCUGGCUUUAAAAUACUUAUAUGGAGAAAAAACACAUUUACGUGUGAUCAGGUUUAUUGUGAAAGAAAAGCCUCUUUCUUUAAAUCAUUAAAUGUGGACAGAACCUGCACAUGACCUGACAGUGAAUGAAGUUACUUAUCUCUGAUUACAUGCCAGAUAUAAAUUGCUGCAACCAAUAAAAGUUAAGGUCAAAGUCUGAAA